ACCUCAAAUAGAAUACAUAAAGUACAAAAGAUUCAUGACCCCUGAAUGAAGUGGGGCUCACCAAGUCUGCUGGGAAGAAGGUGCACUGCUAUCACUGAUCAAUAUCUCCUGCUGUGGAACCACCUGCAUCCAUUUAAAGAUGUAGCGCCCCCGGCAAAAGGGACGUUAAUACCAUUGAAUAGCACUAGUAUGUAUAACUAAACACCCUCUCAAUAGAAUGACAAAUAAUACAACAAUAUUAUCAUAAUAUCAAUGAAAGCCUUAAUCAACAUUAAACCUCAAUUUAGGAUCAAAACAAUGUUCAAAUUAAUUUCCAUAUCUCACAUUAGGAGAUUUUCAGUAUCGAUAUACCAUUGUUCAUAAUACCAAUGUUCACAAUACUAAUGUUCACAAUACCAAUGCCAUCGUACUUUUAGCACGGAGUCCGAUCACGACCCGAUCGACUAGGCUAUCUCAUUAGAGAAUCAACCACAAUUACUAUCAAUACCAAUACCACCGUAAAUUUAGUACGGAGUCAGAUCACGACCCGAUCGGCUAGGCUAUCUCAUUAGAGAAUCAACCACAAUUACUGUCAAUAUCAAUACCACCGUAAAUUUAGUACGGAUUCCGAUCACGACCCGAUCGGCUAGGCCAUCUCAUUAGAGACAUCAACCACAAUUACUAUAUUACCAAUUUCCAGCACAAUCACCACCAUGUGUGUGACAUGGUGUCCGAUCACGACCCGAUCGGCUAGGUUGUCUUAUUUGAGACAUCAAUCCUUUUAUAUCAAUCAUCACAUUUCAUAAUAUUUUCACAUCUUUUUAUUUCAUUGGCACUAGUGGCCAUAAUUAUAAGAUCAUUCUUGGCACGUUAACCAUAUUCAGUAUUUCAUGCUCACCUUAUCAAUUUCAAAUAUCAUUAUCAUCAUCAACAACAAAUACAAUUCAAAUCAAGGUGUGUAGUACACAUGUGAGCAAUUUAUAGUCUAAGGCGCAUAGAUAUGUUUCACAAAAUUUGGUAUAAUAGCCUUCAUUUGAACUUGACUUAAAGUCGAAAUAUUAUUAAUGCCUCAAUUGGUAACAUAACAUGAAUAAAGCAUUUGGGAUGCUUGUUGAACAUAUAUCUUUCAACCCAAUCUUACUCGGAAUAGCCAGUUUCAUAAUGAAUCACUCGGGACUUACAUAAUUUACAUAAAUAUCGUGGGAUUUAAUUCUAAGAGAAGAGUUUAGCCAACAUACCUCAAUUGAGCUUCCUUAAACUCUAAAAUAUUCCAGAAUUCUUAGCAACUUCAAUCUAUUUUAGAAAUAUAACAAAUUGAAUCAAAAUUAAGAAGAUGAUCAUGGUUCUGGCUCAUUUGAGCAUUUUAUCAAACACUAGGUGUGCACAAGGUUUCAAGGUCUUUUUAUGGAGAAUUCCAUCAUCCCACAACCCCAUCUUUACCAUGCUUAGUUCAACAAUAUUCCUACACCCCUUGAUAUCACAUGCAUGUAAAAUAAUCAACUCUCAUGCCCAAAAAUUAUCUUGCUAAUUACCCAUUUUCAGAUAAUUUCGAAAUUAGGGUUUAGGGUGUAGAAUCUUACCUCUGGGAUGAAGACCUAGUGAGCUUGCCUUCUUAAUCUUCCAAAACUUGAGCAAGAAUUGAAGAACAAUUAUUAAAGAAUACCUUCUCACUCUAGGUCACUCUCUCUCAAUCUAAAAUGUCACAUUAUAUCUCAAAAAUGGCCCAAAAUGUGUAUUUAACGAAGUAGGGUCGAGUUUUAAAAAUCCAAAAAUGAAGCUCCGGAACAGGUUCUGCAGUUGCAUAUGCGACCACAUAGUGAUUAUGCGGAUCGCAUAUCGGUCGCAUAAUUGGUGUCCAAAAUGACCAAAAAUCUGCCUGAAUCUGCGGUCACUAUGCGGUCCGCAUAACUGUUCUGCGGUCGCAUAGUGCACCGCAUAACAGUUAUGCGGUCGCAUAGUCGACCGCAUAAUUGCUUCCAACUGACCCCAUUAACCGCCUCACUCUGAAGCCAUUAUGCGGUCCGCAGAAUGAUUUUGCGGUCGCAUAAUGGACCGCAGAAAUGCACUUUUCUGCCAAAAAGUUUUCUUUAUUUUUCGGUGCAUUGUUCAACACGUAAAGCCAAUUCGGCACCACGAAACAUUAUUUUUUUUUGCAAAAUUUUACGGGGCUUUACACUUAAGUACUUCAAAAAUUUUUGGGGUGUUACAUUCUCCCCUGCUUAGGGUCAUUCAUCCUCGAAUGAGGGUAAAAAUCCGUCAUUAGCAUCUUAUGCAACUUAUUUUGUUUUAUACCACAAACUAGCAGCCCCAAAUUUGACUAACUCCCUAAAUUUCAAAAAUUUCGCCAGAGUUUCCUUUAUAAUUUGUCCUAUCCACCUGUCAGAGAGCCCCAGAAACACAUCCUAACAGUAUAUACAUAAUCCAACGACCUAACAUAAUACGAAACAACACCAAUUGUGGCCUCAUAAGCAAUAUAUUUUCAGAACGGAACACCCUCAACAUCAAAUGUACAAAUCAUAUAUAAUUCAUAGAAAGUAAGUUUUUUAAUUUUUUCUAGAUCACAACUUUAUAAAUACAUGUUCAUUCAAAUAAAUAAGGAUACUUUUUCUUCAUUUCUUCCUCAGCCUCCCAAGUAGCCUAUUCAACCUGUUAGUUUUGCCACAACACUUUCACGAAGGUAAUUUUUUUAUUUCUCAAUUUCCGGACUUGGCGAUCAAUAAUAGAAACCGGAAUCUCUUCGUAAGUCAAUUUCUCAUUUACCUCAAUAGUCUCAACCGGAACAAUGAGUGUCAGAUCUCUAACUACUUUCUUCAACAUAGACACAUGAAAUACCGGGUGUACUAAUGACAUCUCAGGUGGUAGUUCAAGCUUGUGUGCCACCUCACCGAUCCUCUGAAUGAUUUUGUACGGUCCGACAUACCUCAGACUCAAUUUCCCUUUCUUACCAAAUCGCAUUAUACCCUUCAUGGGGGAAACUUUCAAGAAUACCCAAUCAUCUUCUUUGAACUCCAAAUCCUUACGACAAACAUCUGAAUAGGAUUUCUGAUGACUCUGAGCAGUCUUUAACUGCUCCUUAAUGAUUUUAACUUUUUUCAUAGCCUGAUGCACGAGGUCUGGCCUUAUCAACUCUGCUUCCCCAAUUUCGAACCACCCAAGGGGAGAUCUACAUCUCGUACCAUAUAAGGCCUCAAACGGUACCAUUUGAAUGCUAGCAUGAUAGCUAUUGUUGUAUGCAAAUUCUAUGAGUGGUAAAUGAUCAUCCCAGCUACCUUUGAAGUCUAGAACACAAGCACGCAACAUAUCCUCAAGCGUCUGAAUAGUCCGUUCUGCCUGUCCGUCAGUCUGCGGGUGAAAGUACCCAAACCUUGCUGAAAUUUCUUCCAAAAGUUAGCAGUGAAUUGUGCUCCCCGAUCAGAAAUGAUGGAAACUGGGGUGCCAUGCAACCUGACUAUUUCUUUGAUAUACAAUUGAGCAUACUACUCCACUGUGUCGGUAGACUUAACCGGCAAAAAAUGUGCUGAUUUUGUGAGUCGAUCCACAAUCACUCAAAUCGAGUCAAACUUACGAGGAGUACGAGGCAAUCCUACCACAAAGUCCAUAUUAAUCAUUUCCCACUUCUACAUUGGAAUUUCUAUAUUCUGUGCCAACCCACUGAGCUUCUGGUGUUCGGCCUUCAGCUGCUGACAAUUUGGACAUCUCUCCACAAAUUUCGCUACAUUUCUCUUCAUAUCGUUCCACCAAUAGACCUCCUUAAGAUCAUGAUACAUUUUCGUAGAACCUGGGUGCACGGAAUACUUAGAAGUGUGAGCCUCGGUCAUGAUUCUUUCCCAAAGACCAUCCACAUUUGGAACACAUAACCACCCUUGGUACCUUAGUGUACCAUCAUCCAAGCCGAGAGAAAAAGACAUAGUCUUAUGUUUAUGAAUACCCUCUUUCAAUUGUGCCAACAAUGGAUCAUUGUAUUGCUUCUCUUUGACUUCCACAACAAGCGAUGAUUCAACCCUAUUUUGCACAAUUACCCCUCCUUCACUAGAGUCCGCAAGACGAACUCCUAAAUUAGCCAAUUGGUAAACUUCCUUGGCCAAUGGCCUUUGGUAUGCCUCCAAGUGUGCUAAGUUACCCAUAGAUUUCCGGGUAAAAGCAUCCGCCACAACAUUGGCUUCCCCGAAUGAUAUAGAAUAUUGAUAUCGUAAUCAUUACGUAACUCAUAACAUCUUCUCUACCUUAGAUUCAAUUUCUUCUAUUUGUAAAUAUAUUGAAGGAUCUUUUGGUCCGUGAAUAUGUCCACCUGGACCCCAUACAAUUAAUGACGUCAAACCUUUAAUGUAUAAAACACAGCCACAAGUCCUAAGUCAUAUGUUGGAUUAUUUUUCUCAUGAUUCUUGAGUUGCCUAGAGGUAUAAAUAAUUAUCUUGCCAUAUUUCAUAAUUAGUGGAACAUCUAUAGCAGAUUUCUCUUUCAUAUGACCUCCUAGGAAUUGAGUUCUACAAAAAUUUCCUUGAUACGGUUACGAUCUUAUUAGUACUUGCAACUUGUUUUUUUCAAAUUUCUCAACAAAAGACAUUACUAGGCUAGUUUUCUUAUGGGACCAUCUGUUUCAAAUGAAUAACAUCUACUAGCUUGCGCGCACACCCUGAUAACAUCAACCUGCAUGGCAUUUCCUCAAUAUGUGAAGUAACAUAGUGCUCAAACCUUUCUUAGACAUCCUCUUUCCUCAUUAUAAGUCUUAUAGGAUUUUAAGAAACCACUCUACUUCCCUGGUGAACAUUCUCACGAUUCCUCUUUACUGCUAAACACUUCCCAAAAUACAUAUCGAUACCCUUUAUAUAUAUUUAUCCCGAACAGGGCCUUUUCUGAAACUUGAGAUCCUCCUAAAUUCUUCAACGAUGACUUCUUGUUUUCCUUAUAAGUGUAGGACUUAGUCCACCUGAUUCCAUCCUCAAUGAGUAACUCACCUUAUUCCCCGUAUUGUAGUUACCAAUAGAGUUUCCUGGUAUUGCAGCCUAAGAGCUAUCAUGUUAAACAUGUUUGGUUCGUAACAAGUGUUCAUCCUCUCUUAAUCUGUUUCAAACAUUUCCCAUUUGGUCUAGACAAUAUGUUGAUACUAUAUUUCCUUUGUGACUAGAGCAUUCACUCCCAUCCCAUUUUGCCCUUAAUUCAUAGUUGACAACCUUAUUGUGCCACACACUUGUUUGCCUCCCAUGAACUCGUAGUAUCAUUCUGUCUGGUUUGAUGAGUUUAUCACACCACCACUUCAUCACCAGUAGUCUCACUUUCCAAUGUAAUAUGUAGANNNNNNNNNNNNNNNNNNNNNNNNNNNNNNNNNNNNNNNNNNNNNNNNNNNNNNNNNNNNNNNNNNNNNNNNNNNNNNNNNNNNNNNNNNNNNNNNNNNNNNNNNNNNNNNNNNNNNNNNNNNNNNNNNNNNNNNNNNNNNNNNNNNNNNNNNNNNNNNNNNNNNNNNNNNNNNNNNNNNNNNNNNNNNNNNNNNNNNNNNNNNNNNNNNNNNNNNNNNNNNNNNNNNNNNNNNNNNNNNNNNNNNNNNNNNNNNNNNNNNNNNNNNNNNNNNNNNNNNNNNNNNNNNNNNNNNNNNNNNNNNNNNNNNNNNNNNNNNNNNNNNNNNNNNNNNNNNNNNNNNNNNNNNNNNNNNNNNNNNNNNNNNNNNNNNNNNNNNNNNNNNNNNNNNNNNNNNNNNNNNNNNNNNNNNNNNNNNUGUCUUUCAACAAAAUAUUCAAACAUCAUAGCUACAUGGUCUUACUCUUGUUUCAUUGUAUUUAAGUGGCCUCUCUAUGUCCCUUCUUCCCCCACUUGGGGUGAAUGAUUCACAUUUUGACACAAGUCUUGAAUUUAGCAACUUCAGGGAUAUAUGUCUCAUGUCUCUAUCCCUCAUAUAUAUGUUCGACUAUUAGGAAGAUUUAAGUCACCAUGGUAUUAACCUCAUACGUUUUUUACUCUUAUUCAGCCACAUAGGCUUGGGAUCCAACUCCCUCAUGUCAAUAUCCUUUUUGGAGUGUAAUUACUGUUGAGUUUUAAAUGUUGAAUUGGAAAGUAUGCCUACCUUAUAUUGUUGGAAAUUACUGUAAUUGGACUUAGCUGUGAAACUCGUCAUUAUCUUCAGUUCUUUAUUUAGUAUUGUUACUUGCUGAGUUGGUUGUACUCAUACUACACCCUGCACCUCGUGUGCAGAUCCAGGUACCUCCGGUCAUAGUUAUUCAGAGCUUUAUCUGCGGAGACUAUCGAGAUAGCUGCUUGGCGUCCGCAGAACUUGACUCUCUUUCCUUUUAGUUAUUUGUAUUGUUCUAUAUUUCCAGACAGUGUUCUAUCCGUCAGACUAUGUUAUUAUUUAGAUGCUCAUGUACUCAGUGACACCGGAUUUUGGGAGUGUUUUAUGUCGGUAUUAAUGAGAUUUUGUAUUGACCUUAAAUAUUAUAUUUUUAAACUUAAAAGAAAUUGUGGUUUAUUGAGGUUGUCAGCUUGCCUAGUAUCGAGAUAGGCGCCAUCAUGACUGGUGAGAUUUUGGGUCGUGACAAGUUGGUAUCAGAGCCUAGGUUACAUAGGUCUCACGAGUCAUGAGCAUGUUUAGUAGAGGUUGUAAAUAUAGAAGAAUGGACCCUCCAAAUUCCAGACCAUGCUAGGCACGCUCUGUAGCGAGCUACAGACCAGGCUUCGCGAGCUCUGUAGCAAUCUACAUACCAGGCUUCGCGAGGGAUAUAGCAUGGUCUAGCACGCUAUAGACCUGGCUUCGCGAGAUAUAUAGCACGGUCUAGUGCGCUACAAACCUGGCUUCGCGAGGUAUAUAACACGGUCUAUCGCACUACAGAUCUGGCUUCGCGAGGUCGAAAUGAUUCAACUCCCCAAUGCAUUGUUCAACCCAAAAGUCCGAAAAUAUAAUACAAACUUAGUCGAGGCCUCAUACCACGUCAAACAAUAUCGAAAUUACGAAUCGCGCAUCGAAUCGAAUUAUGAGUUUUCAAAUCUUCCAACUUCUAUAUUUUGGGCUGAAAUAUAUCAAAUCAAGUCCGAUUGAUCUCAAAUUUUGCAUACAAGUCAUAAACAACAUAACAGACCUAUAAAAAUUUUCAGAACUGGAUUUCGACCCCGAUAUCAAAAAGUCAACUCCCCGGUCAAACUACCAAACUUAAAUUUCUCAUUUUCGUCAUUUCAAGCCUAAUUUAGCUACGGACCUCAAAAUUAAUAUCCGGACACACUCCUAAGUCCGAAAUCAUCAUACGGAGCUAUUAGAAUCAUUAAAAUUCUAUUUCGGGGUCGUUUACAUAUAUUUCAUUAUCCGGACAAUUAUUUCAACUUAACCUUUCAUCUUUAAAACUAAGUGUCUCAAUUCAUUCUGAAACCUCACCGGACCCGAACCAAUUACCCCGACAAGUCAUAUAACAACUGUAAAGCAUAAAAUGAGCAGUAAAUGAAGAAACGGGACUGAAAUGCUCAAAAUGACCGGCCGGGUCAUUACAAUAGUAGGGGGGAUGUGACCAAUGCAGUUCUACAAGUUUUUAGAACAGGAACACUGUUGAAACAAAUAAACUCUACUAUGAUAACUUUGAUACCCAAGGUAGUAGAACCUCAAUUAGCAAGCCAGUUUAGGCCCAUCUCUUGUUGUAAUGUACUGUAUAAGUGCAUCUCUAAAAUGAUAUGCGAGAGAUUGAGGAAGACUCUAACUCACUUAAUCUCUGAUAACCAGGCUACUUUUGUAGAAAGGAGAUCAUUGGUCCACAAUAUUCUGAUAUGUCAUGACCUCAUGAGGCACUAUAAUAGGCAAACUUCUCCUAGGUGCCUAAUGAAAAUAGACUUAAAGAAAACCUAUGAUAUGGUCAGGUCGGAUUUCAUAUAUGAAGCACUGAAGGGAUAUGUCUUCCCUGAAUCCUUUACUCAUUUGAUUAUGGAAUGUAUUACCUCAACAAAGUUCUAUGUGAAAGUAAAUGGAGAGGGAUAUGGGUAUCUUGAGGGGAGGAGAGAACUAAGGCAAGGAGAUCCCAUAUCUCCAUUAUUAUUUGUUCUUGUAAUGGAGUAUCUAUCAAGAAUGUUGAAGAAGAUGACUACACUGCCUGAUUUUAAGUAUCACCCUAUGUGCAAAACACUCAAACUCACACACCUGGUGUUUGCAGAUGAUCUUAUGAUCUUUUGUAAAGGAGACAAAAGAUCAAUACAAAGAGUAAUGUAAGCAUUAGACCAUUUUAGUAGUGUGACAGGUCUGGAAGCUAACACUGAGAAAUCAAAUAUUUUCUUGGCUGGGGUGACUGAUGAGGUGCAGGAGGAAAUAUUGAGCAUGACAGGAUUCAUUAUUGGGACUCUACCUAUGAGAUACCUUGGGUUGCCUCUAUCAUCAAAAAAAUGGAGUAAAAUGGAGUGUCACCAGCUAGUAGACAAGAUCACAGAUAGAAUCACAAAGGCAUACUCUAGGCAACUAUCUUAUGCUGGAAGAUUGCAGGUAAUCAAUGCAGGUUUAUUUUCCAUUUACAACUUCUGGGGAGUUGUCUUUAUACUGCCCCAAAGUAUCCUUAAAGAGAUAGACAAGAGGUGCAGAAAUUACUUGUGGGGCAAUUCAGUGGAGCAGAGGAAAGUAACAUUGGUAGCAUGGGAAAAGGUAUGCAAGCCAAAGAAGUUUGGUGGUCUUAACCUCAAGGGAUGCAAGAAAUGGAAUGACGCUUCAGUAGGUAAGCUACUGUGGCAAUUGAAUGACAAAAAAGACAUGUUAUGGGGAAAUGGGUGCAUGGGAUUUAUAUAAAACAAGAUGGAACCAAUGGGGGCAUACUCCACCACAAGACAUCAGCUGGUAUUGGAGGAAGCUAAAUGCACUAAAAGGUAAUAUGGCAGAGUGGUAUCAGAAUGGAAGGUAUACACUAACUACCAAUGGAGAAUAUUCUGUGACAAGGAGCUAUAAUGCAAUGAUAAUAGACUUAACCAAAUUAUAAGAAACUGACUUGAUAUGGACCAAGGCAAUGAUGCUAAGGCAUAGGUUUAUAGUAUGGCUUGCAUACCAAGAUAGACUUCUUACGAAGGAAAGAUUACAAGGCUGACCAAGGCAAUGAUACCAAGGCAUAGAUUUAUAGUAUGGCUUGCAUACCAAGAUAGACUUCUUACGAAGGAAAGAUUACAAAGGCUGCAUAUUCAAGUUGAUGAUGGCAUUUCUCAACUAUGUAAUAUUGCAGCAAGAGAAACGCAAAAACACUUGUUCAUGGAAUGUUCUUGGGUUACAACAGUGAGGGAUCAACUUAGCACAUGGUCAGGUAUACAAUUAGGAGCAGAGGGGUGAUUCAAAGACUGCACUGGUUGAAAAAUAGGAAGUGGAAGCAGAUGAAGAAGGAAGUGGCCUCAGCUAUAUGGGGAGCACUAAUAUACCAUACAUGGAAUGCAAGAAAUUGGAAAUUUUUUUAGAUCUUGUGGCAGCACAGAUACAAAGAGAGAUCAGAGGAAGGCCGGAAAACUUACAAACAAUAAAGAAGGCGCAAAAAUGUAUUUCUUUGAUUCAACAUAUCUGUAGAUAGCAUAGAGGACAAAAUAGUGAGCUUUUUCGUUAGCUUUUCUUUCUGUCGGAAUGUAUUAGAAGGAGGAUAAAGAUGACAGGGGAGGUCCUUUUGGUUAUAUUAGUGUAACCUGAGAUGCUCGUAGGCUGUAUUAAACUGUUGGUUUGUUACGG
rnacentral:lncRNA from 1 species